rnacentral:lncRNA from 1 species
CGUGCAACGCACGGGUAUAAUCCUAGUAUAUGAAAAUGAAUAUCAUAACCUUGAAUCCAGUCAAAAAAAAAAUAUCAUAAUCUUGAAAGUGUAUGUACACAAGCUAUAGGAGUCGUGAGAUUAUUUAGAAGGCUCCAUCCUGUCCCUAAAACUACAUAUUUUAUGCAACACAAAGAUGCGCCCCAUGCAUUACCUAAAUAUUUAUACGGGUCAUAAUCUUGGUGCAUGUGUUCCUGAGACUGCGAAAUCCUUUCUCCAUGGAAGACUUGAGCUUACCUUCUGCUGCGUAAAGCUUGUAUUUCACCACUCUGCGCUUUCUCCUCAUUUCACGGUUAGUCCACCACGACGUGUGGACGCGUGACUUGCUCACAAUCUUCACACCACGUUUGCGUUCUCUCCUUGGAGCUUCAUUACAGGUCUUGUUUGAACCCCUUUCUACCCGCAUUUUGUUGCCAUCUAAGGUUCUUCUCACAUACACAUCAUGUAAUUCUUGUAAUGACUGAGGUUGCCGAUGUUGGAUCACUUCCAUCUUUCUGAUUGCGUAUGAUGAUGAUUACCUUCUCAAAUCUCAAAUCUUAAAGCUCUAUAUCUUAUCAGGUGCUAUGUUUUUAUUGUGUGUAUUUGGGGGUUGGAUUACCUCUCAUUCUCUCCCUUCAUCUGCCUUUAGAGGGAAAGUAAGAGAGGGCAUUGAAAUUCAAGAGUUAGGUAAGGCCAGGAAUCAUAUUUUAUAUGUAACUUUAGUUCUUGUUCUAUUUUCGGCAAAGAAGAAAUGAGAGGU